ANAUGUGAGGUCAAUCUGACUGCAACACCAGUCACUCCAUUGAUUACCAGGGUUGAUUUGGUUGGUGGCUGGUGGGUCAGGUGUCCCCUUCCUCCUUCACAGCUCCAAGUGCCUGCCUCCCACAGCUGCAUACUCUGUGGAAGAGCAGAGCUAUCUAGGAGGAGUGGUACCACUCUUCAGUCAAGAGUACAUUACAACUAUGCUCCCCUGCUGGAACCACCAAACAAGCUCAAGGUUAAUUUGUAGGAGAGAUAGGCUGAUCAAGCAAUGAGAAGUCUUAUGGUAUGGUUGACCCUAUAGUUUCAG
rnacentral:snRNA from 1 species